UUAGUCUUAGGUUGAGUCAAAUGCUUGAUCUUAUACGGACAAGUUGUGAUGGGUAGCGAAAUUUAAGUAGCGAAGUACCUGAUGUCACACUGCCAAGAAAAGCUUCUAGUGAGAAAUAAACUACCCGUACCGCAAACCGACACAGGUAGUCGAGGAGAGAAUCCUCAGGUGAGCGAGCGAACUCUCGUUAAGGAACUCGGCAAAAUGACCCCGUAACUUCGGAAGAAGGGGUGCUGCACGCAAGUGCAGCCGCAGUGAAUAGGCCCAGGCGACUGUUUAUCAAAAACACAGGUCCCUGCUAAAUCGUAAGAUGACGUAUAGAGGCUGACGCCUGCCCGGUGCUGGAAGGUUAAGUGGAUGUGUUAGCACUUCGGUGCGAAGCUCAGAAAUGAAGCCCCAGUAAACGGCGGCCGUAACCAUAACGGUCCUAAGGUAGCGAAAUUCCUUGUCGGGUAAGUUCCGACCCGCACGAAAGGCGUAACGAUCUGGGCACUGUCUCGACGAGAGACUCGGUGAAAUUAUAAUACCCGUGAAGAUGCGGGUUACCCGCGACAGGACGGAAAGACCCCAUGGAGCUUUACUGUAGCUUGAUAUUGAGUGUUGGUACAGCUUGUACAGGAUAGGUAGGAGCCGUUGAAGCCGGAACGCUAGUUUCGGUGGAGGCAUUGGUGGGAUACUACCCUUGCUGUAUGAACACUCUAACCCGCGCCACUCAGCGUGGCGGGAGACAGUGUCAGGUGGGCAGUUUGACUGGGGCGGUCGCCUCCUAAAAAGUAACGGAGGCGCCCAAAGGUUCCCUCAGAAUGGUUGGAAAUCAUUCAUAGCGUGUAAAGGCAUAAGGGAGCUUGACUGCAAGACUUACAGGUCGAGCAGGGACGAAAGUCGGGCUUAGUGAUCCGGUGGUUCCGCAUGGAAGGGCCAUCGCUCAACGGAUAAAAGCUACCCUGGGGAUAACACGCUUAUCUCCCCCAAGAGUCCACAUCGACGGGGAGGUUUGGCACCUCGAUGUCGGCUCAUCGCAUCCUGGGGCUGUAGUUGGUCCCAAGGGUUGGGCUGUUCGCCCAUUAAAGCGGUACGCGAGCUGGGUUCAGAACGUCGUGAGACAGUUCGGUCCCUAUCCGUCGCGGGCGUAGGAAAUUUGAGUGGAGCUGUUCCUAGUACGAGAGGACCGGAAUGGACAUACCGCUGGUGUACCAGUUGUGCCGCCAGGCGCAUCGCUGGGUAGCUAAGUAUGGACGGGAUAAACGCUGAAAGCAUCUAAGUGUGAAGCCCCCCACAAGAUGAGAUUUCCCAUUCCUUUAUGGAAGUAAGACCCCUGAGAGAUGAUCAGGUAGAUAGGUUGGAAGUGGAAGUGUAGUGAUACAUGGAGCGGACCAAUACUAAUCGGUCGAGGACUUAUC
rnacentral:rRNA from 1 species